rnacentral:lncRNA from 1 species
AUGAAGAUGCCUCUUCCUCCCACUGGCAAAUUCCUCUCCAGAACUUCCACUGGCCCCAAACCCGGCCUCUAUUUGCGUCCAAGGGCACCUCCCACCACAAACACUCAGUGCGGCUUUUGCUCACACUCUCUCUCUCAUUCACAUGCUCACAGGCGUGCUCUCUCCAGCUCUCUCUCUCUCUCUGUGUCUCUCUUUCUCUUUCUCUCAUUCACAUGCUCACAGGUGUGCUCUCUCCAGCUCUCUCUCUCUCUCUGUGUCUCUCUUUCUCUUUCUCUCAUUCACAUGCUCACAGGUGUGCUCUCUCCAGCUCUCUCUCUCUCUCUGUCUCUCUCUCUUUCUCUCAUUCAGAUGCUCGCAGGUGUGCUCUCUGCAGCUCUGUCUCUCUCUCUUUCUCUCUCUCAUUCACAUGCUCACAGGCGUGCUCUCUCUAGCUCCCUCUCUCUCUGUGUCUCUCUCUUUCUCUCUCUCUCUCAUUCACAUGCUCACAGGCGUGCUCUCUCUCCAGCUCUCUCUCUCUCUCUCUCUCUCUCUCUCUCUCUCUCUCAUUCACAUACUCACAGGCGUGCUCUCUCUAGCUCCCUCUGUGUGUGUGUGUGUGCGUGUGUGUGUGUGUCUCAUUCACAUGCUCACAGGUGCACUCUCUCCAGCUCUCUCUCUUUGUCCCUCUCUUUCUCUUGUUCAGAUGCUCGCAGGCGCGCGCUCUCUCUCUCUCUCUCUCUCUGUCUCUCUUUCUCUCUCUCUUGUUCAGAUGCUCAGAGCUCUCCAGCUCUCUCUCUCUGUCUCUCUCUUUCUCUCUCUCUCUCAUUCACAUACUCACAGGUGUGCUCUCUCCAGCUCUCUUUCUGUCUCUCUCUCUUUUUCUCUCUCUCUCUCCCUUUCUCUCUCUGUCUCUCUCUCCUUUCAGCUUUCUGUGCUGUCUUCCCCUCCAUUAGCAUACAGGCUCCUCAAGGGCAGGAACUGUCUUUCUUCUUGUUGGCAUUUGUAUUCCCAGCACAAUUAAUCCUUAAUAAAUGCUUUAUCUAUCUUUAUCUCAGCUGGAGAAGGAAAUGGCAAAUCCUUCCAGUAUCUCUGCCAAGAAAAGCCCAAGUGGCACCACAAAGAGUGGGAUGUGAGUAA